UACGAAGGGGGCUAGCGUUGCUCGGAAUGACUGGGCGUAAAGGGCGCGUAGGCGGCGGUCACAGUCAGAUGUGAAAUUCCUGGGCUUAACCUGGGGGCUGCAUUUGAUACGUGGUUGCUUGAGUGGGGAAGAGGGUCGUGGAAUUCCCAGUGUAGAGGUGAAAUUCGUAGAUAUUGGGAAGAACACCGGUGGCGAAGGCGGCGACCUGGUCCUUGACUGACGCUGAGGCGCGAAAAGCGUGGGGAGCAAACAGG
rnacentral:rRNA from 1 species